rnacentral:rRNA from 1 species
GACGAACGCUGGCGGCGUGCUUAACACAUGCAAGUCGAACGGUAAGGCCCUUCGGGGUACACGAGUGGCGAACGGGUGAGUAACACGUGGGUGAUCUGCCCUGCACUUCGGGAUAAGCCUGGGAAACUGGGUCUAAUACCGGAUAGGACUCCGGACUGCAUGGUCUGGGGUGGAAAGCUUUUGCGGUGUGGGAUGGGCCCGCGGCCUAUCAGCUUGUUGGUGGGGUGAUGGCCUACCAAGGCGACGAAGGGUAGCCGGCCUGAGAGGGUGACCGGCCACACUGGGAUUGAGAUACGGCCCAGACUCCUACGGGAGGCAGCAGUGGGGAAUAUUGCACAAUGGGCGCAAGCCUGAUGCAGCGACGCCGCGUGAGGGAUGACGGCCUUCGGGUUGUAAACCUCUUUCAGCAUCGACGAAGCGAAAGUGACGGUAGGUGCAGAAGAAGGACCGGCCAACUACGUGCCAGCCGCCGCAGUAA